GACGUAGGGCGCGAGCGUUGUCCGGAUUUAUUGGGCGUAAAGAGCUCGUAGGCGGCUUGUCGCGUCGACUGUGAAGUCCCGCGGCUCAACUGCGGGUCUGCAGUCGAUACGGGCAGGCUAGAGUUCGGUAGGGGAGACUGGAAUUCCUGGUGUAGCGGUGAAAUGCGCAGAUAUCAGGAGGAACACCGGUGGCGAAGGCGGGUCUCUGGGCCGAUACUGACGCUGAGGAGCGAAAGCGUGGGGAGCGAACAGG
rnacentral:rRNA from 1 species